UGUAUCUGAGGUCUGACGAGGAUGAGAACCUCCGGGGGCAAGAGGUUCGACCCGAGCGAAGCGAGAGAAUGUUGCGCCAGCAACGGCCCGCAGGGCGAGCCACGCAGUGGCGAGUCAUCCUCUAUCACCGGCAG
rnacentral:sRNA from 1 species